GAAAUCUCCUUUCUAUCUCCUACUCUCUGAAACUCUACCUUUUCAGGAACUGUAAUGAUGAGACCCUGAGAUUACACAUCAGGUUGGCAGUGCUGCCAGUAGAGAAGAGGAGGGAAGUAUGUCAAAGCACUCCCUGAAGCCCUGAGAAAACUGGACCCUGGCCCAUCCGAGCGGAAAAGCAAUCAGCAAUAGUUGUAGAAUCUGGAUCUUUCAGGAUUAUCAUUUAGAUCGCCAGUCAUAAAGAUUUGUAUUCUGACAUUGAAUUGUAAUCCAGAUUUUGUAACUCUGUGGGAGAGAGGACUGUUUCUGAUUCUUUCUUUUGAGGUAAGUAUUUGGUGUUAUUCACUGUGGCACUAUUUGUAAUAGAAAAAAAUUAAUGAUAGAGAAAAUUUUAGUAAAUUAUAGUCAUUUAU
rnacentral:lncRNA from 1 species